UGCAAACCUUACCUUCAAAGGA
rnacentral:miRNA from 1 species